AUGUGGUCCAACUCAGAAGGCCAGAGUGAGACACUCCUCCAUCCCAAGGUCCCUCCAAUCCCAACAGAAACAGAAGAUACAGACGUGCUGUGGGGAAGAACACGGGAGGAACUGGAGAACUUGCUGAUCACGCGACCCGUCGGCGGCUGGGAAGGGAUGAGCAUCCACUCUCUGGGGGAAAUCAUUUGGUCCUCCCUGGUUUUCCUGAGAAGUUACUACACGGAGGAGAUGUGUGAAUGCUACCUCGUGCUGUUCUCCUUCCACUUGCUGAUUCUUUCAGUGGACCGUAGAAAGAAGGCGUUUGUUUAUGAGGUAAAGCACAAGGAUCCUUUUGUGUCUCUCGUAUUUAUGUUCAUAUUCAAUAUUUCCUAAAUAUCUCUCUGCUCACAGCACAGGCAGAUGAAAUUCCAUCUGGUUCAUACAAAGUACUUUUCAACACCAGCCUUGGUCUGUUGGUGGAGCUCACCCCUAAAUCUCAGAGUACUUUAUGAAUGAGGACAGUCAUUUUAUGAAUAGGAAAACACGGAUAACAGCCCCCCCCCCAUUUCCUACAUCUUCAGCCACUGAGAUGAGUGUCGUCCCACACAGACUUCCUUAAAGUCCAAGGUUCCAAGGAUGGGAAAUUUUUCAGCAGAAAAGCAUUUUGCUGUACAUCAGAGGGACCACAGUGGGACACAGAGAAGUUGUUGUUACCAACCAAUUUCUAACUCCAUUCCAUUCCACACCAGGGUCUCCUUCCUCUUGCUGGGAUGUGUCUGAGAGAGAUCACGGGCGCAAUCAACCACACAUUGGAAAUUUCUGGUAAGCACAUUCUCCAGUUCCUGAAGGGCUUGUGACAGUCACAAAGCAGUGAUACCCA
rnacentral:lncRNA from 1 species